rnacentral:misc_RNA from 1 species
GCUGCAUCUGCAGAGGAGACAAUAAGUGUGGGUACACGACCAAGUUGGAUAAGCAUAACAGGACCGUAUUUCUUGGAGAACUGCCAUAGAGAUUGAUGACGCAAUUUCCCAAGUUGGUGCAAAUUGCCUAUGAUUGGAAUGCCUGGAGGCCCUGGAGGUUGGUGCUUGCUCUGUGAUCUCAUAGCUUGAAGUCUCUUUUUCAAGAUAUAGAAUAAUAAAGGAAUGAC